CAGAAAGAGAAAGCGGAUAUUAGUUUCGCACACAUGGAAGAUAAAGUCCGGCGGACACGUUGCCGAGAAUCAUUUUUCCGGCUUUCCCGCCGACACAAAACAGACGCGUGUCCUGCAUUGCGUCAAAUUAAGAGGGCUGAGAGGAAUAGAAGGGAUCCGUUUUCGAGGGUCCAGAUGAGGGACCGUUUAAACUUGACGACGCUUACAAAGAGCUAUUGCCUGGAAUGGAGAAUAUUAAUCGUUUGCUUUCCUAAGCAAACAGGAGGGUGCUCGUCCCGAGAAACGUUCUCCUAUUACAGAAUAAAUUCCGAAUGUUUGACUGGAUAUCAGUUUCGGUCACCGACACCUGGCACUUAUCCGUUUGUCACCGAGUUACUCACGUCUGUUCCAAAAAUAUACCAGCGACAAGAUGACUUGUGAAAGAGUCAUGAUCUCGAAAUUUGUUGACAAAACGAAGAACACGAACAGGAAAUUAUAACACGAGAGGACUGCUAAUUAUAUCAUGCAGCAGGCUCAUAAAAAAAAAAAAUCGACACGAUAAUAGCGGUGUGCCGAGCAGAGACAAAUAGCGCCUAAAGUGGACCGUUUAAUUUGACUAAUUUAAGAUUCCACGGAGCGAGACCGGUGGCAUUUUAAAUGUCAUUAAUGCGCUUGAUGAAGCGAGGGAGGGAGAAGGAUGAAAGAGCUCGGAGUCCCGCGCGCUUUGGCCGUCUCUCAACAUUAGCAUAACAAAAUAGGAAACGCAACCGCCCGCGACAAUAUAAUACCUACGAAUCCUUCUGCCAACGAUCGAACGCCUCGUGUUUAUUCGUUCGCUAGAUUACAUGUUGCGCGAGCAUAAUGCCGUGCCCCGGGGACACGUUGUAAAUUUAAUUCGACGUUUUCUCUUGCGGCUUUGUUUCUUUUUUUUUUCUUUCUUCAAAUGCUAUUCUGCAGGUACGUCGAAUGCGUCUAAUGCACACUCGCGCUCGUGCGCACGCAGCGAUAAUGACAGAUUCCAUCUGCAGUAAAUCCUGGCCGCGUCUAAAACACAAGGUGCACACGACUGUGCGUAGUAGCAUAGGCUAAAGCCUAUCUCUAACGGAAACCUCGGGGACGACGGAAUAUUUUUGUACAUAUUAAUCGCGCCGGAGUAAUAAAUUAUGAUCGCCGAGUGUGGACCACCCUGAUCGCCCGCCUGAUUAAGCGCGCGCAUUAAUAUCAAUUUUAUUAAUGCAAUCGGUGACAUUUUUUGCGAUAUAAAUCACUUGUAUACUAGCGUCAUUUAUAUCUCCGCGUCCGGUCACGUCCUGCCCGCUUGUACGCUCGGUAUGUCGGACCACGCGUCCUGAGACAAUGAACGCGUCUUCGCGCGUGUAAUUCGCAGCGAAUCGGCGUUGCGCCGCGAAUUUUUCUCGGAACGAAGCGGGCGCGCGUUUCCUCAACGAAUUUAAACGACCGGGUGACGUCGAUUGGCGGGAAUGUGUCGUGCGCGACGUUGGUUUCCUACGAUCCAUCCGGACUCCGUACGAGCCCGCGGUUCGCAGUUGCAUACGCGGUCGUGUAACUGCAUUCGCAGCUGUGCCUUUCGGUGCCCGAAGGCAAGCGACAUCGUCCGGGCGUCAUUUCGCUCGUAAAACCCGCGCGAUUCUCCCACGCCCCGAGAUAACGAGCCCACCAGCGGAUGUACAGUUUAUUAUUACGCGCAUUAAGAUCCCGAAAAGCUGCAAGAAGCUCCAUGCAAAAUUGCUCGCGCGACCUAUGACACGCUUGCGAAGUUUUGCUCAACAGAAGAACUAUUCUUAUAAGCGAGAGCUAUAAAUCAAGGCAAAAUUUUCUGAACAAAUUAAAGAUAUGAAAGCGAAUAAACUCACGGUCUAAGAAUAAACGUGCCUCGUAUAGAAGACUCCAUCACCGAUCCAGCAGAUAUUCAUUAAUCACACCGCAAUUAAUCCUGGUCGUCGCGAGCUUCGUCUUUCGCAACUAUUGGCCAUUAUCACCGAUUACGCAUACCCAACGUCUCGUUGCUCGCAAAUAGAAUGACGCAAAUAAAGUACGAACCGUGUGGCCGGAGAAAUUGUAUUAUACAUAAUUAAUACAGUCAUCAAGCUCGUGCGCGCCGCAGCGCUCGAGCGAGCAUUUCACGGCGAGAGAAGAGAACGAGACAGAAAGAGAAAGAGGAAAUGGACGAGGGGGGUGGCGGAGAGCGAGAACGGGCGGGGGCGAUAAAGAGGAGGGAGGGAUCGGAGAUACGUGUCUCUCGACAUGUUUUUAUCCGUGAAGCUGUCACGGAGUUUUAUGUGUUUAUUUAUCUCUCCUUCUCCCGCGGCACACACCACGAGUGUCUUAUAUACCGACGAUGGAGUACAUACACGUGGUCCACGGUGAAGAGUCUUCCGGAGGCUCCUGCCGAUUGGAAGUCACUCUCUCCUUUAACCCCUUCGCUGCUCGCUCUCUCCCUCUUUCUCUCAAGAUCUCUCUGCUCUCGCUUCUUUUUUCUCCCCCCUCCGACAAAAAAAGUUUGCGACAACCGGUCCUCCGGAGAAUGCCAUCGGGUGUCGCCGUAAAGUCCACAAAAAGUUCCUGGGUAUCUUCCUAAUUACGAUCUCUGUUCCUUAUAUUGUACGAGAGUAAUACGGAAUCUGACUUUUAGAAUUACGUAGAUAGAAAUUGCGAUUUCACAGCAACACUAUUGUAAGGAGAGAUAAAUCGAAGGAAGUUCUCUCCACGCCUGCAGAAAAUGUUUACGCACUCUCCUAUACUUCACUCCACGGCCUCUUCCACGUAUUCACUUCAUCAUGCGUUCCAGACGAGUCUCGCUCUUCCCAUCCUCUCCCGUCUUUAUCUCCGUAUUUAUAUCAUCGUAACAGUUUCAGGAAAUUAAUACGUAUCCCCCUAGCUAAUGCUAGGAUUUCGCGCAGCUUUCGAAAGUAUAAUGGCUCAUUGAGCGCCGUUAGAUGCAGGUCUCCGUUACGCCCAGGCAUUAGAAGUACUUGGAAAACCGAUAAAUGGACGCAUAAUAAUGCAUUGAUGGACUACGAAGGCGGAUCGGGGGCGGCGAUGAGCGGAUGUUAAUGGCUAAUUAGCAGUAUCGAUCCCGAUCGACGAUCUGAGAGAGCGCGAUUGUGCGUCCGCUUACGCGCACAUUAUGCAUACUUACGCCUUGCGUAAGUGGUCGUUCUAAUUUCCAGUUCGAGAGAGAAGGAAAGACACGCGCGAAAUUACACGCUCGGCGUGUGGAGCACGCGGGCGGUUUUUUUUUACGCGUCUAGAGCGGGCGUCAAAUUUACGCCCUCGGGAAUUAUUAUAAUCCACAUUCUCGCUGGAGCAUUAAAAAGGUUGACUAGAAGAAUGUAACGGACGACCACGCAUCGCGGAAGAAGGCGGAGCUUUUUGCGGCGCGACAAUCCGUGAGAACUCGAGCGCGCAUAUAUUACAGUAGCAGGACACUAGACUUCGAAUUGCGAUAAAAAAGUUUCUCUCCGAGUCUCACUCUAUCGUUCUCUCGAGGAGGGACAUUAAAAAUCGUCAUGCGAACGACGGGAUGCAGGCAUGAAAAAAUCAGCGCGACGAGGAGACGAGAAGAACACGGAGGAGAGAGGGAGGAUCUUGCGCACAUAUGGCGGGAAGUUGUCGUUGAUAUCUUCUGGCCGUUACGAAGACGAACACACUGUCUCCGUCUCUCUUACGAGGAAGGGUUCAAUGAAUCUGUCCCAGGCUCGUAUUUUUGCGCGCCGCGCGAAAGCGCCAUUCGGGCGUGCGACAUCGCGCCGGCCGAUCUUAAAAAUAAUCACGGUUCAUCUGGCGUCGUGAUAAGUAAUGUACCGCCAUGCUGAAAUAACGGCUCCCAUAAUCCCCUUUUACCAGUCGUAAAAAGUUACGGCUAAUAUUUCUGGCGGGACAACUGUUUCCUAUCGAUUUCAAGCACGAUUCAUAAUAGUUUAAUGACUGUGAAUUUUAUGUAGCGACGAUAGCAAAAGUUGAGUAUUCUUAUAUUUAAAAAUUGUUAGCUAUUAAUCGUGAAUUAUUACAAUUUCUUUCUACAGGUUCUUCAAAUAAAACAAUAAGUUUUAGAUGUGAUCUAUCAGAAAUGCGAGAGAUAAUAACAAGCACAUAUUCUUAGAAAAGCAAAUGAAUUAAAAUUAUCAAC